AUGGGCAGCUACGCCUACCGCUACUGCAUGUGCUUCACCCGCAAGUUCCGAUCCCCGGACGCGCACCCGCCCCCCGACGUCCGCGCCGCCCACGCAGCCGCCGGGGCCGCGCACGGCGACGACGGCCUCCGCCGCUUCCUCGCCGACGUGCAGCGCGAGGACCCUGCCGAGGCAGACCGCGUCCUCGCCGCGCUCUCCGGCGGCGGCGCCGCCGGCGGGAUCGCCCGCUUCGUCGGCCGGUCCCCCGCCGCCGCGCUGCCCACGCUCGACGACUUCUUCGGCUUCCUCUUCUCGCCGGACCUCAACCCGCCCAUCUCCAACAAGGUUCACCAGGACAUGUCGGCCCCGAUUUCUCAUUACUAUGUAUUCACCGGUCACAAUUCUUACCUCACCGGAAACCAGCUCAAUAGUGACUCCAGUGACGUUCCAAUCAUAGCAGCAUUGCAGAAUGGCGUGCGAGUGAUUGAACUCGAUAUGUGGCCAAACUCCGCAAAGAACUGUGUUGACAUUCUGCAUGGAGGGACAUUAACUGCACCAGUAGAAAUCAUGAGAUGUUUAAAGUCCAUUAAAGAAUACGCUUUCUGCGCUUCAACAUAUCCUCUUGUAAUUACUCUUGAAGAUCACCUCACAGCAGAUCUCCAAGCCAAAGUAGCCGGGAUGAUCACGGAAACAUUUGGAGACCUCCUUUACGUCCCUAGUUCAGACACACUAAAUGAGUUCCCUUCUCCAGAAGCUCUAAUGAGAAGGAUAAUCAUCUCAACUAAACCCCCACAAGAAUACAGGGAAUUUCUUAAAGCUCAGGGUGAUCAGAAAAUCAGUGGCAAUGCAGAUAAAUUAGCAGAGGAAGGAAACUUGAGAAGAAUAGAUUCAAAUGCUGAUGAUUCUGAUGGCAAGGAUGAACCAGAUGACGAAGAUGACGAAGAAUCUGAGGAAGAGGAUCCUAAAUUUCAGCCGGAUACUGCCUGUGAGUAUAGGAAACUAAUAACAAUCCAUGCUGGCAAACCAAAAGGCCGUAUGAGGGAUGCGCUUAAGGUCGACCCUGACAAAGUCAGACGUCUUUCUUUGAGCGAGACACAGUUGGGUAAAGCAACAGCUUCUCAUGGUGCUGAUAUCAUAAGGUUUACUCAGAGGAAUAUAUUAAGGAUUUAUCCGAAGGGUACAAGGAUUAAUUCUUCUAACUAUGAUCCAAUGAAGGCCUGGACUCAUGGUGCGCAGAUGGUUGCAUUUAACAUGCAGGGGCAUGACAAAUCGCUAAGAUUAAUGCAAGGAUUUUUCAGAGCCAACGGUGGCUGCGGAUACGUUAAAAAGCCCGACUUCUUGCUAAAGACAGGCCCAAAUGGUGAAGUGUUUGAUCCCAAAGCGAGCCUGCCGGUGAAGAAAACCCUUAAGGUGAAAGUGUAUAUGGGGGACGGGUGGCGCAUGGACUUCAGUAAGACUCAUUUCGACGCCUUUUCUCCGCCCGAUUUCUACGCCAGGGUGGGGAUCGCGGGGGUGCGGGCGGACUGCGUGAUGAAGAAGACCCGGACGAUCGAGGACCAGUGGGUGCCGGUGUGGGACGAGGAGUUCACGUUCCCGCUGACGGUCCCUGAGCUGGCCCUGCUGAGGGUGGAGGUCCAGGAGUACGACAUGUCGGAGAAGCACGACUUCGGGGGGCAGACGUGCCUGCCGGUGAUGGAGCUGAAGCAGGGGAUCCGCGCCGUGCCCCUCCAUGACCGCAAGGGCAACAGGUACAAGUCCGUCAGGCUCCUUAUGCGCUUCGAGCUCAUCUAG
rnacentral:rRNA from 1 species